AUUGAACGCUGGCGGCAGGCUUAACACAUGCAAGUCGAGCGAGCGGCGGACGGGUGAGUAAUGUCUGGGAAACUGCCUGAUGGAGGGGGAUAACUACUGGAAACGGUGGCUAAUACCGCAUACCAUCAGAUGUACCCAGAUGGGAUUAGCUAGUAGGUGGGGUAAUGGCUCACCUAGGCGACGAUCCCUAGCUGGUCUGAGAGGAUGACCAGCAACACUGGGACUGAGACACGGCCCAGACUCCUACGGGAGGCAGCAGUGGGGAAUAUUGCACAAUGGGCGCAAGCCUGAUGCAGCCAUGCCGCGUGUGUGAAGAAGGCCUUCGGGUUGUAAAGCACUUUCAGCGGGGAGGCGUUACCCGCAGAAGAAGCACCGGCUAACUCCGUGCCAGCAGCCGCGGUAAUUC
rnacentral:rRNA from 1 species